GAUUUACAAUGUAAUCUGUUACUCCCCAACCCUGGGGGGCAACUGGCAAGGAACAACUCCCUGGAGGGAAGACACCUUAAUAAAACAAACUAGAAAAGACGAGACAAAUUGAACUUCAGAGUAUAUGACCCUCACUUGAGUAAGGAACCGAAGCCAAAUAACUAAUUUUAAAAAUAGUGGUAUAAUGUUAGCCUAUUUGGAGAAAGGUGUUGUGUCUGUGCAACGGAGCACGUUGUUGGAAAAGAAAACCGAGAUUAUUACGUAACUGUGUGUAAAAGUACUGUAAUGAAACAGGCAGGGGAGCGGGACUUGAACCCUCAACCUUCUAAACCCGAAGUCCAACGUGUUAUCGACCGUGCCCCCGAAAGUAUGCUCAAGUGGCAGAGUCGAUAUCCGCGUUUAUAAACCCAGGGUCGUUACACUGCUAAACUCUGCACAACAACUUUCACAAUGAAGUCAGACAUCGAGGCAUUAAUCCAGAAUGUCGGAAACCAGUUUAAUGCAGGAUGUUUUUUAAAUGCCGUUCUGAUUUAGGGUGCGUUCGUAAAUUCACUCUGGCUAUCUACUCCGUUUUCAGGGCGUGCGUCUUGAUUGUGGCAGAGCACAGAAACACUGGAUGAAUUUACGAACCAAUCAACACCCGUUAAAUAUGGCCGGUGUCAGUAAACAGACGGACGAAAAAAAAGAAGCGUAAUUUAAAUGGUUUUCCAGUAGCACAGUUACAGUCCAGCGACACUCUGGAUAACAUGAAAACAUCGUAACCAGCUCUGCUUGGUUGAGUAAAAAUGUGUCAGAUUGGAGGUGUUCUCUCAUUUGAAGUAGCUAUCAAAUUAACAUUAGUCAAGCACCGAAGUUAGGGUCAGAAAGCUGAAUUUUCGAACGCACCCUUGGUUGGAUUAUUCUACUCGACUAAAGUGAAUCAGAGAGAGAGAGAGAGAGAUGUCAAUCUCAACAAAUAUGAGCGCCCAAAGGUUUCAGUUCACAGUUAUAACGUUAUUAUAAUUUAUUAAUAAUUACAUAGCUAUUUAGUAGUAAAACACUUACCACUGCGGAGACAACUACCCGAUCUCAAGGAUAAAAUUCAAUUCGCAAAAAAAUCACUUCCGUUAUCGGUAUAAUCAGAUGUCUUCCUUGUUACUGAUGCGAUGUAAAUUGAUCACUGAAAUAUUGUUGCUUUGGGGGUGAGGAAGGGGUCGCUUGUCGAUAGUUGCUGUACUUAAACCCGUUAGUUACAAAUGAGAGCUCAGUAAUGUUGCAUUUUAUGCUGAGUUUCCACUAGAUGCCACAGUCACAAAGUCAAAAUUGGCUAUAUUGUAUAAAUUCAUACAAAAAUGAGAUGUUUGCUCUUAAUUUAGGGUUAGGUAUAAGGUUAGCAUUAUGGUUAAUGUUUAAAAUAACAUUUUAAUUAAGAGAAAUUGACGAAAUAGGCGGCAUUUUUUUUAUAACGUUGUGUCUGUGGUAACUAGUGGUGACCCUUGUACAAAUUGGGCGAAGUAAAGUCUUCCGGGGUUCUGCGUCGCGUACAGCCAACCAGCGAGUGAGACGUCAUUAAUGGUUAGAUCGGCAUUUGGGGCAGGGUUCAAAAAGAUUAACAAUACAGCGUUGUCAUGGUGAGCUCAGCUGGAAUGAAUUUGUUUCUGUCCCAGAUAGCCUCCUAUAUAGGGCUCUGGUCCAAACUAGUGCACUAUGUAGGAAUCAGGGUGCCAUUUGGGAUCAUCACAGUAUCACUGAAAUGUGCUUUUAAAUGUCUUUGCCAAAUAGGACAUGAAUGAUUAGGUUGGAUUUGAGAAGAGGACAGAGAGUUGUUAACCUUGUUCACACAAUACCUUUAUCUAUUGACACCCUGGGAGUCAGACAGACAGACAGGGAGUCAGACAGACACACAGGGAGUCAGGUAGACACAGACAGACUGGGAGUCAGACAGACACACAGGGAGUCAGACAGACACACAGGGAGUCAGGUAGACACAGACAGACUGGGAGUCAGACAGACACACAGACAGACUUGGAGUCAGACAGACAGACUGGGAGUCAGACAGACACACAGGGAGUCAGGUAGACACACAGACAGACUUGGAGUCAGACAGACAGACUGGGAGUCAGACAGACACACAGGGAGUCAGGUAGACACACAGACAGACUUGGAGUCAGACAGACAGACUGGGAGUCAGACAGACACACAGACAGACUUGGAGUCAGAAGGACAGACUGGGAGUCAGUCAGGAAGUCAGACAGACAGACUUGGAGUCAGUCAGGAAGUCAGACAGACAGACUGGGAGUCAGACAGGAAGUCAGACAGACAGACAGGAAGUCAGACAGCGGACCAGGAAGCUGUGGUAUUACAGUUUAUUUGUUGUUUUGGAAGGUAAAGUGCAUAGUUGAAGCCCUUCCUCUCUGUUAGACCUGUUCCCUGUAUAGUGGUACUACUAUAGACCCUGUUCCCUAUAUAGUGGUACUACUAUAGACCCUGUUCCCUAUAUAGUGGUACUACUAUAGACCCUAUUCCCUAUAUAGUGGUACUACUAUAGACCCUGUUCCCUAUAUAGUGGUACUAUUAUAGACCCUGUUCCCUAUAUAGUGGUACUACUAUAGACCAGAGACCUGUUCCCUAUAUAGUGGUACUACUAUAGACCAGAGCCUAUUCCCUAUAUAGUACACUACUAUAGACCAGAGCCCUAUUCCCUAUAUAGUACACUACUAUAGACCAGAGACCUGUUCCCUAUAUAGUACACUACUAUAGACCAGAGCCCUAUUCCCUAAAUAGUACACUACUAUAGACCAGAGUCCUAUUCCCUAUAUAGUACACUACUAUAGAUCAGAGCCCUAUUCCCUAUAUAGUGGUACUACUUUAGACCAGAGCCCUAUUCCCUAUAUAGUGGUACUACUAUAGACCAGAGCCCUAUUCCCUAUAUAGUGGUACUACUAUAGACCAGAGCCCUAUUCCCUAUAUAGUGGUACUACUAUAGACCCUAUUCCCUAUAUAGUGGUACUACUAUAGACCCUAUUCCCUAUAUAGUGGUACUACUUUAGACCAGAGCCCUAUUCCCUAUAUAGUGGUACUACUAUAGACCAGAGCCCUAUUCCCUAUAUAGUGGUACUACUAUAGACCAGAGCCCUAUUCCCUAUAUAGUGGUACUACUUUAGACCAGAGUCCCAUUCCCUAUAUAGUGAACUACUAGUCCUGGUCAAAGUAGUGAACUAUAUCCAGGGGCUCCCGAGCGACGCGGCGGUCUAAGGCACGUGAGGCGUCACUACAGACACCCCGGUUCGAAUCCAGGCUGUAUGGCAACCGGCCGUGAUUGGGAGUCCCACCGGGCGGCGAACAAUUGGCCCGGCGUCGUCCCGGUUUGGCCGGUGUAGACCGUUGUUGUAAAUAAUCAUGUAUUCUUAACUGAUUUACCAAGUUAAAUAAAAGUUACAUUAAAAUAAACUGUAUAUAGGGAAUAGGGUGCCUAAGUAGUGCACUAUACUGUACAUAGGGAAUAGGGUGCCUAAGUAGUGCACUAUACUGUAUAUAGGGAAUAGGGUACCUAAGUAGUGCACUAUACUGUACAUAGGGAAUAGGGUGCCUAAGUAGUGCACUAUACUGUAUAUAGGGAAUAAGGUACCUAAGUAGUGCACUAUACUGUAUAUGGGGAAUAGGGUGCCUAAGUAGUGCACUAUACUGUAUAUUGGGAAUAGGGUGCCUAAGUAGUGCACUAUACUGUAUAUAGGGAAUAGGGUGCCUAAGUAGUGCACUAUACUGUAUAUAGGGAAUAGGGUGCCUAAGUAGUGCACUAUACUGUAUAUAGGGAAUAGGGUGCUUAAGUAGUGCACCCUGUAUAUAGGGAAUAGGGUGCCUAAGUAGUGCACUAUACUGUGUAUAGGGAAUAGGGUGCCUAAGUAGUGCACCCUACUGUGUAUAGGGAAUAGGGUGCCUAAGUAGUGCAAUAUAAUGUAUAUAGGGAAUAGGGUGCCUAAGUAGUGCACCAUAAUGUAUAUAGGGAAUAGGGUGCCUAAGUAGUGCACUAUAAUGUAUAUAGGGAAUGGUGCCUAAGUAGUGCACUGUACUGUAUAUGGGGAAUAGGGUGCCUAAGUAGUGCACUAUACUGUAUAUGGGGAAUAGGGUGCCUAAGUAGUGCACUAUACUGUAUAUAGGGAAUAGGGUGCCUAAGUAGUGCACUAUACUGUAUAUAGGGAAUAGGGUGCCUAAGUAGUGCACUAUACUGUGUAUAGGGAAUAGGGUGCCUAAGUAGUGCACUAUACUGUGUAUAGGGAAUAGGGUGCC
ensembl:lncRNA